CCUACGGGUGGCAGCAGUGAGGAAUAUUGGUCAAUGGACGAGAGUCUGAACCAGCCAAGUAGCGUGAAGGAUGACUGCCCUAUGGGUUGUAAACUUCUUUUAUAAAGGAGUAAAAUGAGGCACGUAUGCCUUUUUGUAUGUACUUUAUGAAUAAGGAUCGGCUAACUCCGUGCCAGCAGCCGCGGUAAUACGGAGGAUCCGAGCGUUAUCCGGAUUUAUUGGGUUUAAAGGGAGCGUAGAUGGGUUGUUAAGUCAGUUGGGAAAGUUUGCGGCUCAACCGUAAAAUUGCAAUUGAUACUGGCAGUCUUGAGUGCAGUUGAGGGAGGCGGAAUUCGUGGUGUAGCGGUGAAAUGCUUAGAUAUCACGAAGAACCCCGAUUGCGAAGGCAGCUUACUAAACUGUGACUGACAUUGAUGCUCGAAAGUGUGGGUAUCAAACAGGAUUAGAUACCCCAGUAGUC
rnacentral:rRNA from 1 species